GGGGCUGUAGCUCAGUGGUAGAGCGCUUGCCUUGCAUGCAUGAGGGCCUGGGUUCGAUCCCCAGCACCA
rnacentral:tRNA from 1 species